GGGGCUGUAGCUCAGUUGGUAGUAGCGUCUGGCUGGCAGCCAGAAGGUCAGGGGUUCGAGUCCCCUCAGCUCCA
rnacentral:tRNA from 1 species